rnacentral:rRNA from 1 species
AUUUUCGUCAAUGGGGGCAACCCUGAACGAGCAACGCCGCGUGCAGGAAGAAGGUUUUCGGAUCGUAAACUGCUUUUCUUGGGGAAGAGAAUGGACGGUACCCAAGGAAGAAGCCCCGGCUAACUACGUGCCAGCAGCCGCGGUAAUACGUAGGGGGCAAGCGUUGUCCGGAUUUAUUGGGCGUAAAGGGCACGCAGGCGGUCUGCUGCGUUCGGAGUGACAGGUGGUGGCUCAACCACCACAGGCCUCUCAAAUACGGGCAGACUUGAGGACUCGAGAGGGAUGCGGAAUUCCAGGUGGAGCGGUGAAAUGCGUAGAGAUCUGGAAGAACACCAAUGGCGAAGGCAGCAUCCUGGAGAGUAACUGACGCUCAUGUGCGAAAGCCAGGGGAGCGAAC